rnacentral:rRNA from 1 species
CCCCAGUAACGGCGAGUGAAGCGGCAACAGCUCAAAUUUGAAAUCUGGCCCCUCGGGCCCGAGUUGUAAUUUGUAGAGGAUGCUUUUGGCAAGGUGCCGCCCGAGUUCCCUGGAACGGGACGCCGCAGAGGGUGAGAGCCCCGUCUGGCUGGCCGCCGAGCCUCUGUAAAGCUCCUUCGACGAGUCGAGUAGUUUGGGAAUGCUGCUCAAAAUGGGAGGUAUAUGUCUUCUAAAGCUAAAUAUUGGCCAGAGACCGAUAGCGCACAAGUAGAGUGAUCGAAAGAUGAAAAGCACUUUGAAAAGAGGGUUAAACAGUACGUGAAAUUGUUGAAAGGGAAGCGCUCAUGACCAGACUUGGGCUUGGCGGAUCAUCCGGCGUUCUCGCCGGUGCACUUCGCCUCGCCCAGGCCAGCAUCAGUUCGCGCCGGGGGACAAAAGCUUCGGGAAUGUGGCUCCUCCGGGAGUGUUAUAGCCCGUUGCAUAAUACCCUGGUGCGGACUGAGGUUCGCGCAUCUGCAAGGAUGCUGGCGUAAUGGUCAUCAGCGACCCGUCUUGAAACACGGACCAAGGAGUCGUCUUCGUAUGCGAGUGUUCGGGUGUCAAACCCCUACGCGUAAUGAAAGUGAACGCAGGUGAGAGCUUCGGCGCAUCAUCGACCGAUCCUGAUGUUCUCGGAUGGAUUUGAGUAAGAGCAUACGGGGCCGGACCCGAAAGAAGGUGAACUAUGCCUGUAUAGGGUGAAGCCAGAGGAAACUCUGGUGGAGGCUCGCAGCGGUUCUGACGUGCAAAUCGAUCGUCAAAUAUGGGCAUGGGGGCGAAAGACUAAUCGAACCUUCUAGUAGCUGGUUUCCGCCGAAGUUUCCCUCAGGAUAGCAGUGUUGAACUCAGUUUUAUGAGGUAAAGCGAAUGAUUAGGGACUCGGGGGCGCUAUAUAGCCUUCAUCCAUUCUCAAACUUUAAAUAUGUAAGAAGCCCUUGUUACUUAAUUGAACGUGGGCAUUCGAAUGUAUCAACACUAGUGGGCCAUUUUUGGUAAGCAGAACUGGCGAUGCGGGAUGAACCGAACGCGAGGUUAAGGUGCCAGAGUAGACGCUCAUCAGACACCACAAAAGGUGUUAGUACAUCUUGACAGCAGGACGGUGGCCAUGGAAGUCGGAAUCCGCUAAGGACUGUGUAACAACUCACCUGCCGAAUGUACUAGCCCUGAAAAUGGAUGGCGCUCAAGCGUCUCACCCAUACCUCGCCCUCAGGGUAGAAACGAUGCCCUGAGGAGUAGGCGGACGUGGAGGUCGUGACGAAGCCUAGGGCGUGAGCCCGGGUCGAACGGC